UACGUAGGGGGCUAGCGUUGUCCGGAAUCAUUGGGCGUAAAGCGCGCGUAGGCGGCCCGGUAAGUCCGCUCUGAAAGUCCAGGGCUCAACCCUGGAAAGCGGGUGGAUACUGCCGGGCUAGAAUCCGGAAGAGGCGAGUGGAAUUCCUGGUGUAGCGGUGGAAUGCGCAGAUAUCAGGAGGAACACCAAUAGCGAAGGCAGCUCGCUGGGACGGUAUUGACGCUAAGGCGCGAAAAGCGUGGGGAGCAAACAGG
rnacentral:rRNA from 1 species